UUUGAUGGCGACCGGCGCACGGGUGAGUAACACGUAUCCAACCUGCCGAUGACUCGGGGAUAGCCUUUCGAAAGAAAGAUUAAUACCCGAUGGCAUAGUUCUUCCGCAUGGUAGGACUAUUAAAGAAUUUCGGUCAUCGAUGGGGAUGCGUUCCAUUAGGUUGUUGGCGGGGUAACGGCCCACCAAGCCUUCGAUGGAUAGGGGUUCUGAGAGGAAGGUCCCCCACAUUGGAACUGAGACACGGUCCAA
rnacentral:rRNA from 1 species